UUUAGUGCGUUUCUAUCUGGGACUAUUUGAGCUAAUUGUAGGGGAAAAUCCAGUGGAUAAAUCUUUCUAUAUCUCCUCCUUUUAUUGGAAGGCCAAGAAAAAAGAUUCAGUAUUGUACCACAUGAAAUGGACAUGAUACCAUCACAAUGUAAUCAUCUGAUAUCUGCUGAAUUAAUAAGGACACCAGAAUAUAAGGAAGGUAAUAAUGAAGAUGAACAGACAGUUGCAGAAAUCAUGAGAAGGCGUUUUUCUCCUGCUGUUGUAACUAACAGACCCUGGGAAGGUUUUCAUUUUGCUGGCCAUGAGAUAAAAAUUAUAGAAGCCACCGAA